AAGUCGUAACAAGGUUUCCGUAGGUGAACCUGCGGAAGGAUCAUUAUAAGAUGGAGAGUUGAUGUUGGGGAGGUAGGAUGUUGCGCAAGCAACAUUCGACUUGUCCUUCACAAUAAUCAUUGUUCGAUGUAGCAAUACGUCGUUAACACUUGCUUGUUUAAUGUUUGUCAGAGUAAAAUAUUUCAAAUCUAUUAAAACUUUUAACAAUGGAUCUCUUGGCUCUU
rnacentral:misc_RNA from 1 species